rnacentral:rRNA from 1 species
GUUUGAUCCUGGCUCAGGACGAACGCUGGCGGCGUGCCUAAUACAUGCAAGUCGAGCGAACGGACGAGAAGCUUGCUUCUCUGAUGUUAGCGGCGGACGGGUGAGUAACACGUGGAUAACCUACCUAUAAGACUGGGAUAACUUCGGGAAACCGGAGCUAAUACCGGAUAAUAUUUUGAACCGCAUGGUUCAAAAGUGAAAGACGGUCUUGCUGUCACUUAUAGAUGGAUCCGCGCUGCAUUAGCUAGUUGGUAAGGUAACGGCUUACCAAGGCAACGAUGCAUAGCCGACCUGAGAGGGUGAUCGGCCACACUGGAACUGAGACACGGUCCAGACUCCUACGGGAGGCAGCAGUAGGGAAUCUUCCGCAAUGGGCGAAAGCCUGACGGAGCAACGCCGCGUGAGUGAUGAAGGUCUUCGGAUCGUAAAACUCUGUUAUUAGGGAAGAACAUAUGUGUAAGUAACUGUGCACAUCUUGACGGUACCUAAUCAGAAAGCCACGGCUAACUACGUGCCAGCAGCCGCGGUAAUACGUAGGUGGCAAGCGUUAUCCGGAAUUAUUGGGCGUAAAGCGCGCGUAGGCGGUUUUUUAAGUCUGAUGUGAAAGCCCACGGCUCAACCGUGGAGGGUCAUUGGAAACUGGAAAACUUGAGUGCAGAAGAGGAAAGUGGAAUUCCAUGUGUAGCGGUGAAAUGCGCAGAGAUAUGGAGGAACACCAGUGGCGAAGGCGACUUUCUGGUCUGUAACUGACGCUGAUGUGCGAAAGCGUGGGGAUCAAACAGGAUUAGAUACCCUGGUAGUCCACGCCGUAAACGAUGAGUGCUAAGUG